rnacentral:ncRNA from 1 species
ACCAUAACCCAUAACCCUUCUAAAGAUGCAAUGUGAUUUAUUCCCAUUGCUCUGCAUGUCAAAGUGAAGAACUUCAACCAAGCGUGGGUAAACGAUAGGAGUAACUAUGAAUUUAUUAAGGUAGCUAGAUGCCUCGCCAUCUAAUUAGUGACAUGCAUGAAUGAAUCAUUAAUGUGAUUCCCCAGUGUCCCUAGCUACUAUAUUCUAGAGAAACCACAUCCAAGGGAAUGGGCUUGGAAGAAUUAGCGGGGAAAGAAGACCCAAUUGAGCUUGACUCUAGUCCUAACCCAUUCAUAGUUUGGGA